UACGAAGGGGGCUAGCGUUGUUCGGAAUUACUGGGCGUAAAGCGUGCGCAGGCGGCUUCUCAAGUCAGGGGUGAAAGCCCAGAGCUCAACUCUGGAAUUGCCUUUGAGACUGAGUGGCUUGAGUACGAGAGAGGUGAGUGGAAUUCCCAGUGUAGAGGUGAAAUUCGUAGAUAUUUGGAAGAACACCGGUGGCGAAGGCGGCUCACUGGCUCGUAACUGACGCUCAUGCACGACAGCGUGGGGAGCAAACAGG
rnacentral:rRNA from 1 species